UACGUAGGGUGCGAGCGUUAAUCGGAAUUAUUGGGCGUAAAGCGCGCGCAGGCGGUCCUUUAAGUCUGAUGUGAAAGCCCACGGCUCAACCGUGGAGGGUCAUUGGAAACUGGGGGACUUGAGUACAGAAGAGGAAAGCGGAAUUCCACGUGUAGCGGUGAAAUGCGUAGAGAUGUGGAGGAACACCAGUGGCGAAGGCGGCUUUCUGGUCUGUAACUGACGCUGAGGCGCGAAAGCGUGGGGAGCAAACAGG
rnacentral:rRNA from 1 species